AUUCGAUGCUACACGAAGAACCUUACCUGGGUUUGACAUGUAGGUGGUAGUGAAUCGAAAGGUGAACGACCCUUCGGGGAGCCUACACAGGUGCUGCAUGGCUGUCGUCAGCUCGUGCCGUGAGGUGUCGGGUUAAGUCCCGUAACGAGCGCAACCCUUGCUCCUAGUUACAAGUGUCUAGGGGGACUGCCGGCGGAAAGCCGGAGGAAGGUGGGGAUGACGUCAAGUCAGCAUGGCCCUUAUAUCCAGGGCUACACACACGCUACAAUGGUCGGUACAAAGGGCAGCGAAACCGCGAGGCGGAGCGAAUCCGAGAAAAGCCGAUCGUAGUUCGGAUAGCAGGCUGCAACCCGCCUGCUUGAAGCUGGAGUUGCUAGUAACCGCGCGUCAGCCAUAGCGCGGCGAAUACGUUCCCGGGGCUGUACACACCGCCCGUCACGUCAUGGGAGUCGGAACGCCUGAAGCCGGAAGUCUAACUGGAAACAGGAGACGCUGUCGAGGGCGGGA
rnacentral:rRNA from 1 species